UCUCCGUUGGUGAACCAGCGGAGGGAUCAUUACCGAGUUUACAAACUCCCAAACCCUUUGUGAACCUUACCAUAUUGUUGCUUCGGCGGGACCGCCCCGGCGAGGGGGUGCCUGCCGCUGGCCAACCAAAAAUUCUAGCUGUUUUUGUACCAUCUGAGUCUUCCACAAAUAAACAAAACUUUCAACAACGGAUCUCUUGGUUCUG
rnacentral:misc_RNA from 1 species